rnacentral:rRNA from 1 species
AUGGGCAUCUUGCCGAUGAUGUUCGCUUUGCUGGUAAUCUGGUCACAAGGAAUGCCAAUAGCUCCGGAGUCCAGAGCUGUAACAAGCCAGCCGAGCCCUGAGGGGAACUGGGCGCAACCAUCCCGUGCCAGUACCACACUUUAUGGUUGCCCGUCGAGCUGCGGCAAUCUGAGCUUUGCCUAUCCCUUCGGCAUCGGAUCCAGGUGCUCCCGUGGUCCUGACUUCAACCUCACUUGCAACGACACCACUCAGCCGUCCAGGCUUUUCUUGCGCGACGGCAUCACCGAGGUGAUCAAAUUCGGCAAUCCUCUUUUUAGUUCAAACUUGAUCCAUGCCUCGUUCUCGCAUACCAUCCCCAUGAAAUCUGGUGUUAGUGUCUACAACUUGCCUUUCGAAUUGCCUGGGAAGUCAUUCUCUCUUGGGUCCAUUGCUCUUAACAUUACCGGCUGUGACCUGGAGGUAUACUCUAUCGGAAACAAUGCCACCAUGUUAAUAUGCAGCACUGUGUGCUUGGACCCAAGAAUCCCAGAGAUGGUGGCUAUGCAGAACUGUAAAAAUACCUCCGGAUGCUGUCGUGUUGAUGUGGACAGUGACCGCAGUUUUCAGUUCAGAUUUGUCUAUAACCAAAGCAAAAGAAACAUUGAUGCACGCCCCAACCAGACCUCUCAACUGUGGGAGAGAAUCAACAUAACAAAUGAUUGGCCGAGUGGCUUUCUGCUAUCGUGGCAGAUAGUUGACCAAUCCAACUGUGCUGCUGGGAAGAAAAACAUGGCAAAGUAUGCCUGUAUCAGCGAGCAUGCCAUGUGCAUUGACAGUACAACCGGAAGCCAUGGCUACAGCUGCAUGUGCAGGACUGACUAUACAGGUAACCCCUACAUUCCAGGUGGUUGCUCCAAGCCCAAUGACAGUGGGUAUAAUCCAAUUCAGUGCUGGGCACGUUGCACCCGUUUCUGUGGUAAGACUAGUGUGCAAUUCCCAUUCGGCAUAGAAGAGGGUUGCUUUGCAAGUGAACAGUUCCAGCUCAACUGCGCAAAUCUGACGUCAUCACCUGCUCUCAUGCUGGGGAAUGCCCAGGUCUUCGAUAUAUAUAUUGAAGAAGGGACCAUUAACGUCAACAAUCCCAACCAACAAGGGAGAUCUGUCAUAUCUGAAUUUUUUCUCUUUCCUAUUCCUUCUGGGCCAUUCUCCUCUGUGCAAUGGUUUGCUUCUAAUCUCAGUUGUGCAGAAGCCCAACAGAGUAAGUUUGAAUAUGCUUGCUUGAGUAUCAACAACAAGUGUGUGGAAGUAACUGUUAAGGACAAUGAUUCUGUUGAUAGAGGGCCUGUUUGGUUGGGAACUAAAAUGGCCACGCCUAAGUUGAGGUGCUAGAUGCCAAGUUCUCACCGUGAUUUGAAAGACGACAAGAACGGGAUAUAUCCCGGUUGUGAGUUUCAAUCCUUCUUGGAAUUGAAGAUGUGGCUCGAUAACUACUCGGUUACGCAUUAUCGUCCACAUAAAGUGGCCAACUCGGACGCCAAUGUGCGUUACACGGUCAAAUGUGAAGUGCAUUGACCUUGUGAAAGCCAUCUUUCAUUACAAGGUGAAGUACGGCAAGGCAUGGAAGGCAAAGCAAGCCGCAUUCAAGAUAUUGUAUGGCAAUUGGGAGGAAGCAUACAACCGACUCCCUAGGUUGUUGUUAGCUAUGGCCACCACAAACCCAGACAUGGUUCACGUGGUUGAGCCUCAUGGGCAACAAGUGGAUUCAUCACCUGAACUGAAGAGCACCAACAAGUGUUAGGGACUUAGGGAAGUUGCGCCCAUUUUUUCCGCAGCCUUCUCCACCAUCGCACCAACUCGAAGAAGUUGGCGCUCUCGGUUGCUCGCUUCUUUCUAUCACGGAAGAAUUAUUUCCGGAAGAACCAAGGUCUUCUCCUAGAAACAUUGAUAUCAUCUGAUGAAACUGCAAAUGAGAAUACUAAGAUUUUCUUGCUAGAAGAGCUGGAGAAGGCAACAAACAACUUUGAUCCUACACGUAUUAUCGGCCGUGGGGGCCAUGGCAUGGUUUACAAAGGCAUAUUAUCUGAUCAGCGUGUCGUUGCAAUAAAAAAGUCUAAGACCAUUGUGCGGUGUGAGAUCAGUCAAUUCAUCAAUGAAGUCGCAGUCCUCUCUCAGAUAAAUCACAGAAAUAUCGUGAAGCUCUUUGGAUGUUGUCUCGAAACCGAGGUUCCACUGUUGGUGUAUGACUAUGUAUCCAGUGGCUCACUGUCUCAGGUUAUUCAUGCCGAUUCAAGCAUUGGCCUUUCUUUGUCUUGGGGUGAUUACUUAAGGAUUGCCGUAGAAACAGCAGGGGCUCUAUCUUAUCUCCACUCUUCAGCUUCGAUAUCAAUCUUCCAUCAUGAUGUGAAGUCCUCAAAUAUACUCUUAGAUGUGAACUACACAGCCAAAGUUUCAGAUUUUGGCGCGUCCAGAUUGGUUCCGAUUGAUCAGACACACAUUGUCACGAAUGUGCAAGGUACAUUUGGGUACUUAGAUCCAGAGUAUUUCUAUACCAGGCAGCUGAACGGGAAGAGCGACGUCUACAGUUUUGGUGUGGUACUAGUGGAGUUGCUUCUCAGAAAGAAGCCUGUUUUUACAAGUGAAUCAGGCACCAUCAAGGGCUUGUCAAGCUAUUUUCUCCAGGAGUUCAGUGAGGGGAGAAUCACGGGUAUUGUUAGUUCCCAGGUCCUAGAGGAGGCAACUGAGGAAGAGAUCAACGGUGUCGUCUCUCUUGCAGAGCGGUGCUUAAGUCUGCGUGGUGAAGAAAGACCCACCAUGAAACAG